UAUAUAUAUAUAUAUAUAUAUAUAUAUAUAUAUAUAUAUAUAUAUAUAUAUCGUGUCUCGGGUCCCAGAGAUGACGUUGAUCCCUCACUAGCUCCAGCAUUAACUUUUCCGACUCCGGACACCACAUCUUCCACAACUCUUCCCGAGGACAAGAUGUAAAGAAAUCAUCGCGCGGCUGGACAAGACCAGCCUAUCAGUCUUGUUAGGCCCCUUUCAGACGUAUCGACUUUACGCCGUCCGCCGUCCACGGCACGACGUCGUUCUCUCAAAUAACCAUGGAUGUCUAUGGACUCCUUCACACGUAUCGACCGACGCCGUGAACGACUUGGCGCCGUGGACGGCCGCCGUUGUCACAACGGCGCCCAUUUGGAAAUGGCACGGCGUUGCGCCGUCGACGGCGUGAAAUGUACACAGGUCUCUAUGGACUUGUUCAAACGUGUCGACGUUCCGCCGUCUGAAAUGGACGGCGCGAGUAGCGUGUCACACCACUUCAGUCGUUUCCUGACCACAGACGUGUUUAUAGUAUUGCUCACCAUUGAUAAUGGAAGACGUUGAUGUAGACGUUGAAUUGUUGAUUAGCCUGGUUGAAGAGAGGCCUGUUCUCUGGGACAAAAGCCUUGAAGCAUAUAAGUCCAAGACUGAAACCACUGCAGCAUGGAGGGAAGUCUGCAAUCAUCUGAACCCGGGCUUUGAGUCUAUGAGUGACGAUACAAAGAACAUUUUUUGAUGGCAAAGUAGAGGACUCAACCUGUUGAGGAGCUCAUCGAAUGAUUCUUUGCUCAUUCUGAAGUAGUUGAAAAACUUUUUUGUAUCUCUUCUGAGUUCCUUAUACAGUGUGACAAAAGCUCCAACCACUGGUCUGGCAACAUUGAUAUUAUGGGCCCACUUUCUGCUGUGUGAACGUUGUUUUUUCUUUUUAAAUAUAAGUAAUAUAGGUAGAGCAGGUGGUCCUGUGUGUCCAUGAUGAAAGAAUGGAGGCAACUGGCAGGUGGACGGCACAGGCCGUGCCGUUGUGUCAACGGCGCCCGCCGUCGACACCACGGCGCUCUCUCUGGAAUGCACGGCGCUGGGUCCUAGACGGCGGACGGCGUAAAGUCGAUACGUCUGAAAGGGGCCUUAGUGUGGCUGGGAAUUCCAGCCGCCAGGCACCAAAAGUCCAGCAGGCGGGCCAACGCGGCUUGCGGCGGUUGGCAAUUCAUCAGCGAAUUGCCAAGUGUGAACCCACCUUUAAUGUAGCAACGUAUUUUGAAUAAAAUAUAACAAGAUGUCGCUCUUUUGGUCGCUUAUUAUACUAAUUAAUUAAUCUUGAAUAUUUCUAAGUAGUUACAGACUAUUUCUGAGUGAUAUGUAAUUUCCGGAUAUGUCGAUAAUUAGGCGAAUGUAAACAAAGUGCCUUUCUCUCCGCUGGGCUGACAUGCGGAUUAUCUUCUCAAAAUAGAGGCAGAGGACAACAGCCAGUUCAAGCGUAAAAUAAUUUAGUGCAGCUAUGAAACGUUACUUCUUGUAAAGCUCCCAGAGGAAAGGAAGAAAAAUGUAAAAGAGAAAAUAAUAAGAUCCGGAAGUGACUUCCAAAUAUGUUAAUGAGGCUCCUCAAAUGUUUGACAACACUUUGCAUGGUUAAGAGACAGUUAAAGAUGUAUCCUCAGUUUACAGAAAACAACUAGGAAACAAAAAAAAAAAAAAAAUGAAGGGGAGGGGGCAACAUCACCAUGCUUGUGGUGAGUCACAUCCUCACGUCCCCCUCUAUUUCUUCACCAACGCACUUACAUUAUUUUCAUUAGAAAUAGUUAUGCUGGAUAUUUUUUUUUUCAGUUUGUUUCACCAUUCUAGUGAAAUUCUAACAUUCGUGCUAUGUAUUCGUGUCCUGUAUACUUUCCAGGCAUCGCACAUCAUCUCAGUAGAACACUUGAUUUAAAACAAACACAACCGUUUUGUUAGCCGAAGUAAGGAACGGUCACAAAAGGCAACUUGGGGAAUAUUAAGAUAAAGCUAACCUACUGCUUCCGUGACGAAACUAUUUUUCUUUCUAGUAGUUUUCGGUCUGUUUUUAAAUAAUUUGCAUGUUGCUUAGAAUAUAAGAACAUAAGAAAUAAGGGAAGUUGCAAGAAACCAUCAGGCCUACACAUGGCAGUCCCUGUACAGUGGUGGCUCGUGACUGUUACUGAUUGGGGGGGCUGUCUCACAUUCAGACAAAUAAAAUCUUAAAUGCUUUUAUUGUUAUUGUUUAAUAUACCAUUGAUUGAUAGAUUAUAAAGAUAGAUAGAUAAUUAUUUAAUUCUUUAGGUCUUAUCCUAACAGUAAAUGCUUGACUUCCUUAGUGCUGGCUUAGGCUUUUUGAAAAGGAAGUCCAUUCUCCUGUUCCUGUUUUGUGCAAACAGAUCAAUAACUUUUUUCAUUUAAACCUGGCAUAUUAUUCAUAGAAAUCUUCUCUAUUGAAAUCAUGGCAAGUGCAAGUUCUUUCAAUGCAGAAACCGUCUUUGCUUCUUGUGCCAUUUUGCAAAAUACUGCUAGGCCUACCUGAGAAAAGAAAAAAAAAUACUAUUUUAUACGAUGUUUCUGUGAUUUUACACCAUCUGUGAUAAUCAAGAUUGAGCACAAGCCAUCACUCAUCAAUAAUAUUUUAAAAUCAUCCCUGACAAAUUGAAAAACACGAUCGAAAAUAAGACCGACGCAAGAACACUCAUCUAGCUGUAACGCUCCUUUUUAUUAUUUCUGUGUUUCUUUGAGUCUCCCCAAUAAUUGUUUUCUUUUGUAGCUUGCGGUGAAGAGGAGGAUAAUAGCGGUAAUUAAAGGUUUAGUGAUUAUAUGAAAAAGUAUAUUUAUAAGGCGUGUAUUCGUGGGAGUGAUUUAGAAGUCUUGAAACAUUUGUUGUAAAUAGUCUUUACUUAUUUCAACUGUGGUUUUCUCUAAUCAGUGGUAAUACGAAUAAUAGGAUUACAUCAUGUUGCGUCAGCCUACCAGUAACUCAUAAGGUGUCAUUCCCUAGCUUAUAAAAUAUGUUAGUAAUUUAGAAUUCAAUUAUUAACUUCAACUAAUGUCCAGCCUAUAUGCUCACCUUGCUAGCCAAUUAUUUCUGCAUUUUUAUUUAAACUCACGGUUCAGUAAAAUUAUUUGUGAAAGAAGAGAGAUAGAGAACUAGCUAAGGUUCCAAUAACUUCAGAGGCCUGGGGGUGGGUGUUGAGGGGGAGAGCACAGAAUGGCGUCUCCUUUCCCUCUGGCAACAGAAUGGCGUCUCCCUUCCCUCUGGCAACAGAAUGGUGUCUCCCUUCCCUCUGGCAACAGAAGGACGUCUCCCUUCCCUCUGGCAACAGAAUGGCAUCUCCCUUCCCUCUGGCAACAGAUAAAAUAGCCGGUGUUGGUCCCACGUGGAGACAGGCCACAGAGUCUUGGGAAAGUGUUAGCCAUGUAAUGUUUCUUUAGUCAAAUAUAGUCUACUGUGAAUGUGUUGUGAGCAAUAUUAUAGCCGUAGAGAAGUGAUGGAUGAAGGCUGUGACGCUAUUUAGGGAUAUAACGGUGCCCAGAAUCAAUGGUACUCUUGAGGAGUUAUAAAAGUAAUUAUUUUCUUGUGUAUUCGUAGUGUUAAGUAACGGAGUAUAAGUGUAUAUGCCAUACCAGAAUUUCAAGUGCCUUUUUUUUUUUUUUUAGAUUAACCACUCGAUAAAGUGUCAUAGUGGGUCAGUCAACCCAAAGAAUCCCAUCAGUAUUAUUCGUUUAAUUAUUUUUGCUAUUUUUAUAUUUUUCGUUCCUCAUAAUAAAGCCACACUGUAGGUACUGUGUGAUAAUUAACCUCUCCCUACCCUCUGGCCAUGACGAUGAAGGCGAGAACCAUUACCAAUCAAAAAUGUUUGUUUUUCUUGUGUGUGUGCGUGCUUCACCUCUUCUCUCUUCCUCUUCUUUUUUCUUCUUCACCGUGAAGAUCUUUGCCUCGUCUCAUUAGAGCUCUGAUCGGACCGGUGAGGAGGAGGGAGGGGGGGGAACCGGAGGGAAGGGGUGGCAUUACACUGGUGGCAUAGCGGUGGGAUUCGCUGUAGUCUUGGCCAGUCGUAUUGGGAGAGACAGAGUACUGACAGUUGGGUAAUAUUGGGUCAAGUAAUGUUCAAAGUGGCUGUUGUAGGUCAUAGCCAGGUACCACGUAGGUUUGAUGUGGAAGUGGAGAAUUCAGAAGUAAGGAUAUAUCGUGCAGGAGGAGCAAGAGCUAGGAAUUUCUUUAAUGACGAGAAAUUGAAUCACGUCUUGGCAUGGAGACAUGACCUCACUUUCCUCUGGUUAGGAAGCAACGACAUCAAUCCUAAUACACAGCCUCGUGAAUUAACAGAUACAAUUCUGAACAUUGGCAAAGAAAUUGAACGAAAUUGCGGUUCGAAGGUUAUUUUGGUAGAAAUAGAAAAUAGGCAGUAUCCAUCUAGCAGACCAGUAAUUCCGAAUGAACGCUAUAAAAAGAUAAAACGUGCGUGAAUGCCGCUUUGCUUAAAAGUAAACAGUUCUUGUGUAUCAAUUUUAACAGUUUUGUGUUUACCCUUGGAAGAGAUGGAGUACAUUUCGAAACCAGUGACAAAGCUCAAAUUCAACAAAAGUUGGCUAUGAAUAUUAGCAAAGCCAAAGCUCGUCUAUUUGGCCCUGUACACUAAAGUUCAACAUGGAUCGCAUAGAGUCACUAAUAGAUAUGGAGGAGAAUGAAGAAUACGGUGGAGUUAGAUGGGAAAAUCUAGAGCAGGGAGAAUCAGAGGUCAAUGCCAAUCAGGUAAUGAUAGAUACAAUGAAGUUUAUGGUGGCUAAACUUGAAAAUAUGUCAAUGAGAAUUGAUGGAUUGGAGGACUCGCUGAGUAGGGCAGUUCAAAUCCAUCAAGCAGGCAGAAGGGUUGUUUUAUUGGCCUACUAUUAAGUUGGAUGUAAUACAGUAUCUUAAAGAGUGUCUAAACUGCCAAAAAUUCAAACACAACCGAGGAAUGUCACAGCCAUACCGAGAGUUACCUAUAGUGUCAGCCAUUGGAGAGGAUUGCCAUUGAUCUCACUGACAUGACCAACAGACAGGAAGGUCAAAGGUAUAUCCUCACCAUCAUAGAUCACUUCUCUAGGUAUGUAAAAUUUUAUCCUCUAAAAACAAAACAUGCUCAGGGUAUAGUAGCUAAGCUUUCCCAAUACAUCUCUGACUUUGGCCGGCCACUCUCCAUCCUGUGUGACAAUGCCUUGGAGUUCACGGGACGAGAACUAAGAACCUGGGCUGGUCUUCAUGGGAUAGAACUGCUCUACACCACUCCCUAUCACCCCCAGUCAAACAGACUCAUCGAGAGAAUGCACCGGACCCUGAAGACCGUGCUGUCCCAAAUGUGCAAGGGUUACCCUUUAAGGUGGCCCGCCCUUCUCAGUGAAUGUCAGUCACACAUGAAUCUGGCAGUACAUAGCAGCACGGGGGUCUCUCCAUAUGUAGCAUUCUUCGCAAGACAGCCACCUCGUUUCGUCACGGCGCCUCUCCUGACGGUGCAGUCUGAAGAUAGUGACGUUCAGCAACUUAAGCGCAUGAUUAAAGACGCUACUGUGACGUCACAGAGGAGGUACCGUGCAGUGGCGAACAGAAAACGACGUGAUGAAAAGGUCUCAGUUGGGUCCUUGGUGUGGGUGAAAUCAGAAACUCCGUUGCCUGGUACCUCUACCAAAUUGAAUGCUAAGUGGAAAGGACCAUAUCGAGUGAGUGAGGUAAUCAGGGACGGUCAACUGUAUGUAGUGGAGGACCCCUAUUCUGGGAAGUUAGUACAAAGAGCAGCAGAAAACGUGAAACAGUAUGUGAGCCGGAGUGAAAUUAUUCCGGAGUUGGAGGAGAACUAUUCAGACGGAUGUGUUGAGGAGGAGGAGGAGGAGGAUCAAGACCUCCCUCCCCGCCGCCGUCGACCUCCCAGACGUCUUAUUGAGGAGUGCUAAUGUGAUGCACGAACUCAGGAGUGAGGAGAAGUGAACAGUGUUAUAAUGUAUAGGAUGUGAGGGUUAGGAAUGAAGUGAGUUAAGAGCAGGAAAUCCUCAUCCGUCACAAGUGUUCGAAGGUCAGUGACACUGUCUCAGCCACAAAUAGAGUGGGGCAUUUCGGGAAAGUCGUCCCCAAAUUCUCGUCGUGUCAAAACAGUUCAUACCAGAUGGUAGCUUAUGUGUUACAGUUUGGGGAAGUGUACCCCAUUCUUGUGGGCUUUAGUUCGAGAAGUGAGGUUUCCAAGGAACGUCGUACUUGGUUACUUCCUCCUCAAGUUACAGUCAUCACCUCUAACGGGUCCUAAGUUUCCCUUGAGGACGUAUUACCCCAGUCUUCGUUGUAGUAAGAGGAAUGAUUUGUGUGAAUGUUGGCGAAUGUGUCGAAUGCUGCGAAUGUAAUAGAUUAUUCCUUUUCUAUGAGACGGGGAAUAAAGAGAGUGACGGAGUUAGUCAGGUGACUUCUCCAUAGAUUACCCAUAGAGCAGAGGGUGACUGGGGUCCAAGUUCUCUUUUCCUGUAAGUAUUCUGUAUGUGAAAGGUGUUGGUACAAUUUCCUAUGGGAAGAAAUGUACGAGUCAGGUGACUCAAGGGUAAGUGGUUGAGUCAGUGUCAGCUGUUUAGUAGACCUUAUGUAUGGAUAGGAUAGGGAAAGUGUAUAGGUAGGAUUUUGCAUGUAUUCUUCACCGUGAGUUUAACUCUGGGAGAAUGGGCGUGUGUAACGCUCCUUUUUAUUAUUUCUGUGUUUCUUUGAGUCUCCCCAAUAAUUGUUUUCUUUUGUAGCUUGCGGUGAAGAGGAGGAUAAUAGCGGUAAUUAAAGGUUUAAUGAUUAUAUGAAAAAGUAUAUUUAUAAGGCGUGUAUUCGUGGGAGUGAUUUAGAAGUCUUGAAACAUUUGUUAUAAAUAGUCUUUACUUAUUUCAACUGUGGUUUUCUCUAAUCAGUGGUAAUACGAAUAAUAGGAUUACAUCAUGUUGCGUCAGCCUACCAGUAACUCAUAAGGUGUCAUUCCCUAGCUUAUAAAAUAUGUUAGUAAUUUAGAAUUCAAUUAUUAACUUCAACUAAUGUCCAGCCUAUAUGCUCACCUUGCUAGCCAAUUAUUCCUGCAUUUUUAUUUAAACUCACGGUUCAGUAAAAUUAUUUGUGAAAGAAGAGAGAUAGAGAACUAGCUAAGGUUCCAAUAACUUCAGAGGCCUGGGGGUGGGUGUUGAGGGGGAGAGCACAGAAUGGCGUCUCCUUUCCCUCUGGCAACAGGUGGGUCUCGUAGCUCUGAAAUAUUUGAUUUUUCUUUUAUUUAGAAGUGAAUAUUACUGUGUUCAUGUUUAUUAUUCAUGUCUCUAGUGAAGAUAUAGUGACUGUACGUGUUCACAGAAUGGCGUCUCCCUUCCCUCUGGCAACAGAAUGGCGUCUCCCUUCCCUCUGGCAACAGAAGGGCGUCUCCCUUCCCUCUGGCAACAGAAUGGCGUCUCCCUUCCGUCUGGCAACAGAUAAAAUAGCCGGUGUUGGUCCCACGUGGAGACAGGCCACAGAGUCUUGGGAAAGUGUUAGCCAUGUAAUGUUUCUUUAGUCAAAUAUAGUCUACUGUGAAUGUGUUGUGAGCAAUAUUAUAGCCGUAGAGAAGUGAUGGAUGAAGGCUGUGACGCUAUUUAGGGAUAUAACGGUGCCCAGAAUCAAUGGUACUCUUGAGGAGUUAUAAAAGUAAUUAUUUUCUUGUGUAUUCGUAGUGUUAAGUAACGGAGUAUAAGUGUAUAUGCCAUACCAGAAUUUCAAGUGCCUUUUUUUUUUUUUAGAUUAACCACUCGAUAAAGUGUCAUAGUGGGUUAGUCAACCCAAAGAAUCCCAUCAGUAUUAUUCGUUUAAUUAUUUUUGCUAUUUUUAUAUUUUUCGUUCCUCAUAAUAAAGCCACACUGUAGG